AUCGAAACACUGGGGCCAUUUUCCACGGGUUUCCCCAUAUCGACCACACUCAAGAUUUUGUGAGAAAGGAUAUCAUAGGAUGGCUUCAGUGGCUUUGCCAUAAUGUGGGCUUUCAGGAUUUUCGUUUUGAUUAUGCAAAGGCUAUUCACCAAAAUAUGUUAAAGACUAUAUUGAAGGAGCACAACCACUGUUAUCUGUCGGGGAGUAUUUGGAUGUUUGCAACUACAACGGUUCUACUUUGGACUAUAACCAAGAUAGCCAUAGGCAACGAAUAAUCAAAUGGAUUGAUGGCAGUGGACAUCUUUCAACUGGAUUUGACUUCACAACCAAGGGAAUUCUCCAGGAAUUCUGUCAAGAUAGAAUUCUGGCGUCUGCGUGAUGCUCAAGGGAAGCCACCUGGUGUGAUUGGAUGGUGGCCUUCAAGAUCACAUUGGAAUUUUGAAGAAUUGAUUGGUUUUGUUUAGAGAAGAAUAAAUUAAUUUCUUAGUUUAGU